AACGCGAAGAACCUUACCUGGUCUUGACAUCUACGGAAUCUUGCAGAGAUGCGGGAGUGCCUUCGGGAACCGUAAGACAGGUGCUGCAUGGCUGUCGUCAGCUCGUGUCGUGAGAUGUUGGGUUAAGUCCCGCAACGAGCGCAACCCUUAUUCCAUGUUGCCAGCGGGUAAUGCCGGGGACUCGUGGGAGACUGCCGGGGUCAACUCGGAGGAAGGUGGGGAUGACGUCAAGUCAUCAUGCCCCUUAUAUCCAGGGCUGCACACAUGCUACAAUGGCCGGUACAACGGGUCGCUAAUCCGCGAGGAGGAGCUAAUCCCCAAAGCCGGUCUCAGUUCGGAUUGCAGUCUGCAACUCGACUGCAUGAAGUCGGAGUCGCUAGUAAUCCCGGAUCAGCAACGCCGGGGUGAAUACGUUCCCGGGCCUUGUACACACCGCUAGUC
rnacentral:rRNA from 1 species